AGCAGUAGCCUGAGCUGCCCCCAGGGCUGUGAGCUGCUGAAUCUUCUGACUCAUCAUUUCCAUGACGGCUGUGGAAAAAAAUAAGAGUCAAAGAAUCCUGCUCUUGUCACCGAGGCUGGAGUGCAGUGGCACGAUCUUGGCUCACAGCAACCUCCGUCUCCCGGGUUCAAGCGAUUCUCCUGCCUCAUCCUCCCGAACAGCUGGGAUUACAGGCAUGCACCACCAUGCCCGGGCUAACUUUGUAUUUUUAGUAGAGAUGGGGUUUCACCAUGGUGGCCAGGCUGGUCUUGAACUCCUAACCUCAGGUGAUCCACCUGCCUUGGCCUCCCAAAGUGCUGGGAUUACAGGCGUCAGCCACUGCGCCUGGCAUUGUUAAUAAAACUUUAACUCAGUGAUCCACUGUGGGGUCACUAACACAAAUUUAGGGUCUACAAUGCAUCGGUCAAUAUGCUAACACAGCUGGGUGUGGUGAGAAUGAGACUCUUCUCGGAAAAAAAAAAAACCUGCUAACCAAAGAUAUAAAAACGAACACAAUAUGGUAUUAAAUGAGUCUGACAUAAUCAGAAAACUAUGAUGGGGAAAGAUUUUUACCUUUGGAACACUGGUUCUGAAUCCUGAUUAUAACAGAGGGGAGCUUUUUUAAAAAAAAACAGACCUUGGUACAACUUCCCCUCCUUUGACUUCCAAGUUGAUUUAGUCAAUCUGGAAUGGGCCCAAGCUUUCUUUUUAAACUUCCUGAGUGA